AUCUCCCCAAGCGAGGGAUAUAAAAGAGUAGCACCGUUUGCAGCGCAGUAGUCUGAACUGCCUCCUACGGAACACUACGACAAUCAGAUCACCAUGCUGUGCAGCAGGACCAUUCUUGUGGCCCUUGUGGUCCUCGCUCUUGCCUUCACCUUGGCGUCGGCCCAGUUCGGGCGCGGAGGCUUUGGCCGUGGAGGAUUUGGUGGCGGCUUCGGUCGGGGCGGCUUCGGAGGCAGCCGUGGAUUCGGUGGUGGAUUCGGUGGUGGCCGUGGAUUUGGAGGUGGCUUCGGACGAGGAGGUUUUGGCGGCUUCCGUGGUUAGAGCGCGCUGUGAUGUAGAGAACUGAAGGACCUUAUCCUUCUGACGGGAUGCCCAGUUCAUCAGCUGAAUGGAGAUAGAAAGUCACCAUCUGGAAAAAAUUGAAGAGUGGCUGCAUCAUUUUCUUUUGUUCUGUCCAUGGACAGGCGAGAACUCAUUAGUUCGUAUGCACAUUUCUGGUGAAAUCGUGCAUAACGCCAAAUUUAUGCUGAUAAUGAACGUGCUCCUUGUUUUAUUUUGGCUAAAAGUGUAAAUAAAAAGUGUUAAAGCCAAGUAC